ACGAUGUCAACUAGCCGUUGGGACUCUUGAAGUCUUAGUGGCGCAGCUAACGCACUAAGUUGACCGCCUGGGGAGUACGGCCGCAAGGUUAAAACUCAAAUGAAUUGACGGGGGCCCGCACAAGCGGUGGAGCAUGUGGUUUAAUUCGACGCAACGCGAAGAACCUUACCUGGCCUUGACAUGCAGAGAACUUUCCAGAGAUGGAUUGGUGCCUUCGGGAACUCUGACACAGGCGCUGCAUGGCCGUCGUCAGCUCGUGUCGUGAGAUGUUGGGUUAAGUCCCGUAACGAGCGCAACCCCUAUCCCUAGUUGCUAGCAGUUCGGCUGAGAACUCUAGGGAGACUGCCGGUGACAAACCGGAGGAAGGUGGGGAUGACGUCAGGUCAUCUGUAANACGACGGCCAGGGCUACACACGUGCUACAAUGGUGCGUACAGAGGGCUGCAAACCCGCGAGGGGGAGCUAAUCUCACAAAACGCAUCGUAGUCCGGAUCGGAGUCUGCAACUCGACUCCGUGAAGUCGGAAUCGCUAGUAAUCGCGAAUCAGAAUGUCGCGGUGAAUACGUUCCCGGGCCUUGUACACACCGCCCGUCACACCAUGGGAGUGGAUUGCACCAGAAGUGGUUAGUCUAACCUUCGGGAGGA
rnacentral:rRNA from 1 species